rnacentral:rRNA from 1 species
CACAGGAGCAAUCCUGGUGGCGAGUGGCGAACGGGUGAGUAAUACAUCGGAACGUGCCCAGUAGUGGGGGAUAGCCCGGCGAAAGCCGGAUUAAUACCGCAUACGACCUACGGGUGAAAGCGGGGGAUCGCAAGACCUCGCGCUAUUGGAGCGGCCGAUGGCAGAUUAGGUUGUUGGUGAGGUAAAAGCUCACCAAGCCGACGAUCUGUAGCUGGUUUGAGAGGACGACCAGCCACACUGGGACUGAGACACGGCCCAGACUCCUACGGGAGGCAGCAGUGGGGAAUUUUGGACAAUGGGCGCAAGCCUGAUCCAGCCAUGCCGCGUGCGGGAAGAAGGCCUUCGGG